GACGAACGCUGGCGGCGUGCUUAACACAUGCGAGUCGAACGGAAAGGCCCUGCUUUUGUGGGGUGCUCGAGUGGCGAACGGGUGAGUAACACGUGAGUAACCUGCCCUUGACUUUGGGAUAACUUCAGGAAACUGGGGCUAAUACCGGAUAGGAGCUCCUGCUGCAUGGUGGGGGUUGGAAAGUUUCGGCGGUUGGGGAUGGACUCGCGGCUUAUCAUCUUGUUGGUGGGGUAGUUGCUUACCAAGGCUUUGACGGGUAGCCGGCCUGAGAGGGUGACCGGCCAAAUUGGGACUGAGAUAAGGCACAGACUGCUACGGGAGGCAGCAGUGGGGAAUAUUGCACAAUGGGCGGAAGCCUGAUGCAGCAACGCCGCGUGCGGGAUGACGGCCUUCGGGUUGUAAACCGCUUUCGCCUGUGACGAAGCGUGAGUGACGGUAAUGGGUAAAGAAGCACCGGCUAACUACGUG
rnacentral:rRNA from 1 species